ensembl:lncRNA
AAGACGAGGGUCCCACGUGGGCAUCGGGCGCCGCGGUCCGGGUAGAGCAGGCAUCGCUGCGCCACCUUCCGGUGGGAUCCGGCCAUUGCCGCUCUCCUGGCCAGAGGGAAUUUGGCAUCAUUUGGUAUCCUGACUCUGGGUUGUGGCGUGACCAUAACAGACAUCCAGUUUCAAAGCGGCCGAAAUCUCUAAGUAUUGUCCAGGGUUUCUCUGUGGCUUUGGAGGCUGACCUGGAACUAGCUCUUGUAGACCAGGCUGGUCUGGAAUUCACAGAGAUCCACCUUCCUCUUCAAAGAUGAUUUCCAAAGAGAAUUUCCAAAGAUGUUCAAUCUGAUCCUUGCUGAGUUUGGCGGGCGGAGCCGGAGCCUGGAGACUCGAGGGACAGAGGGCGAGCCUAUCUAUCACUUCAAGAGAAUGUACUGAGUAUCUCAGCCAUCAAUGGUCACAUUCUUCUUUCUAAGCCGAAGAAUUUAAGAAAAGCAGCGCUCGAGAGAAAGGCCCCAUGCGGCAGGGUUCAAGCAGAAGACAGGAGUGAAGGGUUGCACUUACAGCACCAGCACUGGGGAGGUGGUAACAGGAGGACUCUGGGACUGGCUGGCCAUCCAACCUAGCAUACUUGACUGGCCACCCCUAACAGAAUGGUUCUCAGUUGCCAAGAAACAAGAUCUUUCUCGCCUCAGGGAAAAAAAAGCACUUUCAUGGAUGGCAAGCGCUUCCCCAUCGUAGCUGUAGGUCGGUACAACUCUGGUCUUCUGGGGAGAAGAGGUAACUUAAUCCAGACUCCAUGGCCUGCAGAGUUGCUGUCCAAGCCAGGUAAAAGCUGUUUCUGAAAGCUUCACUUCUGGUUGUGAGCAACUGGCUCGGCAGAGAUGGUUGUGCCAUCUAAUAAGUGGUGUCAUCGCUGAAGACACCAGUUAACAAUACUAUCAUUACAUUGUCAUCAGCUUGGAAAGGAGCAAAAUGGCCCUGCCAUGUCGACUGAUCAGAGGGUCUCUCACUGACCCUAGAGAACAUACCCAUUCAGCUGGACUGACCAGGCUGCAAGCCCCAGAGAUCCCCGGGUCUUUGCUCCCCAAGGUUCGGAUCACAGGUAGACACACCAUGCCUGGUUGUAUGUAUGGGGUCACAGGCAGACACUACCAUGCCUGCCUUUAUGUUCUAAGGAACCCAAUUCAGGACCUUAUGUUUUCUUUAUUAACUGAACUGUCUCUCCAACCUUCUUUUUCUUUUCUUAAAAAUUGUAUAGUAGUCAUCCAAAUGAGUGUAACAUGUUACAUAUUGGUUUUCCUUCUAAUGCGGCAAUGUAUAAAAAAUUUUGUUUAGUGGAAUCAUGAACGUUUCACAUUUGCAAUUAAUUUUUAUCCAUCGCUUAGGUGCUAA